UACGGAGGGGGCUAGCGUUGUUCGGAAUUACUGGGCGUAAAGCGCACGUAGGCGGAACAGAAAGUCAGAGGUGAAAUCCCAGGGCUGAACCUUGGAACUGCCUUUGAAACUCCUGUUCUUGAGGUCGAGAGAGGUGAGUGGAAUUCCGAGUGUAGAGGUGAAAUUCGUAGAUAUUCGGAGGAACACCAGUGGCGAAGGCGGCUCACUGGCUCGAUACUGACGCUGAGGUGCGAAAGCGUGGGGAGCAAACAGG
rnacentral:rRNA from 1 species